rnacentral:lncRNA from 1 species
UAAAGAAGUAAAACAUAAGUUGGAAACGACUUGUGUUGAAAUCGGAACGAAAACAGAAGAUUUAGAAUUUUCUGUAAGGAACAUGACUGAUAUUUUAGCAGAAAAUUCACAAUGUCAGAAAAUUAUGAAAAUCUGAGAAUAUGUCGGGAUUAUUUUUAUGAGCCUAAAUUUAAAGUUUCAUGUCAUUCCGACACCCGGAAGGUAGAAAAUAAAAUCAGACUGCUAUCUACUAGAAAUUUUUAGUCAGUAGAGCUUUCGGUGACAAAAAAUGGUCGGAAUUGAAAGAUUAAAAUUUUUUUAUUCUUAUUAAGUUAAACUGAGCCUGACUGUCAAAUUUGAGAGCAAACGGACAUUCAGCAGGGCUCCGGCGAAAAGUUUCAGAUUCUGAGCUGCUAAACUGCUAAUUGUAAUAGUGUUUUGAGGGGUGUGACUAUAAAAAGGAA